rnacentral:rRNA from 1 species
UACAGAGGGUGCGAGCGUUGUCCGGAAUCACUGGGCGUAAAGGGCGCGUAGGUGGCGCCGCAAGUCCAUGGUGAAAGCUCGACGCUCAACAUCGAGUCGGCCACGGAGACUGCGGGGCUCGAGCACUGUAGGGGCAGAUGGAAUUCCGGGUGUAGCGGUGGAAUGCGUAGAGAUCCGGAAGAACACCGGUGGCGAAGGCGGUCUGCUGGGCAGUUGCUGACACUGAGGCGCGACAGCGUGGGGAGCGAACAGG